GCCAUCCCAGGAAUCAGUCUGGGAAACCUCUGCUGUGCUCCUUCCAUAGCCAGGACAUCCUUCCUCAGAGAAGGAGACUCCAAACUGCACAUACAAUACUGCAGGAUGUGGUCUCUCCCCGUACAAUUGCAGCAAGACAGCCCUGCUCCUGGACUCGAACCCUCUCGCUAUGAAGGCCAACAUCCCAUUUCCCUUCUUCACCGUCUGCUGCUCCUGUAAUGCUCACUGUCAGUGACUGGUGUACAAGGUACACCCAGGUCUUAUUGCACCCUCACAUCCCUAUCUGUCACCUUUCGGAUAACAAUUUGUUUUCCUGGUUUUGCUCCCAUAGCGGAUAACCUCACGCUGAUCCACAUUAAACUGGGUGAAGCAUUUCAGUGUCAAGUCUACAAGCUGGAAAUUCAGAGGGGGCGGGUGGUGAGCGCGCGGGCACACUUUAGCUGGAAGACAGUGAGAGUGUACAGGAUGAGCUGUAAACAUCUGGGGUUGUUAUACAGACCAAUUCCUCUUAGAAAAGCACACAAUUGGAACAAGCCUAAAACUGACUAUGAUGAAUGUUAUUUCUCUGUACUCUGAACAGGAUGUGGCCAGCUCUGCCAAGGUGGCAAGUGGAUGCCAAUCUCAAAAUGUCCUUAAACGGAUCGACUUGCUUGGCCUGAAGGCAAUGAAGAGUUCACAAAGGGUUAGGAGUCACGUGCAGAGCAGACCAGAUGCUGCCAGAACAGCUGAGUUUCUCCAGCAAUUUUUCCAAGUGUUCAAGUCAAGUCUUCAGCCAGAUCCCAGUGAAGAAUGAGCAUAGAUCAAUGAUGAAGAACGAGUUACCUGGCACCAUGAGGUUGAUGGAAAUUACUGGUCACAUUAAAUAUCAUUCCGCCGGGACCCCUGUUGAUCACGACACACUGGUAUCGACCUUGGAGAUGGGCCUGGAAUGAUUCGAUUGCCAGCUCUCUCCUGUCCGAGCUAAAGUUGUAAUUCUCGCUGGCAUUGCUUAAGGCUUUCUGUUGGAAGUACCACUGAAAGUAGGGUCCUGUGCCUUGGCUUAGUACACGCUCUAGAACAAGACAACUCCCAAUCGGAACCUCCAUUUUAUUGGCUCGGGGGAUGAGGAAAACCCCUGCAACAGGAACUGGAACAAAACAAAGACAAAUAGGAAAUAAAAGAUCAGGUGUUGAAUUUGUCUGUUUUGUUUUACAGAUGUCAUCUUCAGUGACAGUAUAAUAAUGGAUGGAAAGGAGAAAUAAAUCGAACAAGAUUUCACAUUGUUGCAAAGGUGA